GUGUGCAUGGGCAGGGGGCAGUUUUGAAGCUGAAAACAAAACAAACAUAGAUGGACACAACACACAGGUUGUUUUGCUCGCUGGUUUGAUGGUAAUGAUCAACACAUAUAUCUUUCUCUCUCUAAACUCUCCGCCUCAUGAGAGUAGGCUUCUCGACCUCACUCCAGACCUGAGCUUCCUUCACUUCAACUACGUCAGAGUUUCGAGGAACUGUGAGGGGAUGAUGAUGAUGAAGAAUGUCGCUACCUUAACCAUUAUUUGCAUGUCUGCUGUGCCAUGCUUGUGCUUGCUCUUGAUCUGAUUUUAAUGUCAAAUUCGAACUUUCUCUCUCUUCCUUUCUUGUUUUUCCUUUUUUUGAUUUUAUUUUUUAUCAAGCGAUACACAAAACGACGUCGUUUUGUAUAUUUCUGUUACGCCUGUCAAAAACUACAACAUGAUAUAAAGUCUAGGAGUUUAAGUGUUAUAAAUGAAACUAUAAGGGGGUUCCGUGUUUUUGAGAUAAGCCACAGGGGGUUAAAUUAUAAUUUACCCUUUAAUUUUUGUAUGAAUUACUUGUUUGGCGAAUUUUACAAUUUAAACAAACCCCAUUCAUGGGUGCAGCAGGGCCUGUUGUACCCAAGGUAUAACAUGUACCCAAACUAGCAAGAGGGUUCCUGCUGCUAUAAAGCUUGUGGGAAUCCAUUGCGAGCCUCUUUCAGAAGAUUGUUUAUGAAAAAAUUUAGGUUAAUUGGACAUUCAAAACUAUAUGACAGAUCACAUUUGUUUUUAAAAGCAUAAACGGCAAGCAUACUUUUGAUAAUAAUUAAAAAUUAUUGUUUUAUAAUAAUUAGGCCAUGAUUAUAGUUAUCAGUGUCUGAUCAACUUAAGCUCUUACAUAAAUAAUAUGCAUGAUAGGUUCUAUAAAUUGAAUGGUUCCAAUAGUUGAAAUAGGCCUGGGAUAGGCCUAACCCAAGUAUCACAGCACAUAAUUUUAGGAACAUUAGAGGCCAAAUGUGAAGAUCCACAGUAUGGGUUAGUGGACAACGACGGAGACUAUGACUCCGCAGCUGCUUUGUCAAAUGGGGUCUCAAACCUAUAUGCAUUCCGGCUGCAACCAAGCCACCCUAACCUUCACCAUGGUGGUGGUGGAGGAGUACCAGGAGGAUUUGGGUCUCACGAUCUGCGUCUUGCUUGAGUGUAGCUGCUGGUCAUGGUGAAUUUAAUUGAAAUUGAAGUGAAGUAAUAGACUCCCUCUAUUGUGUGUAUACAUCUCUACUAGUUUUAUUCUUAUAAGUGUUACAACCUAAACACCAGAACAGCUUUUGGUGAUUUGUGUGAGGAUGUGUCUCUUGUGAUGGUAUGUAACAUAACAUGUUGCUUAUA